GGGGAGCAAACAGGAUUAGAUACCCUGGUAGUCCACGCCGUAAACGAUGAGUGCUAAGUGUUGGAGGGUUUCCGCCCUUCAGUGCUGCAGCUAACGCAUUAAGCACUCCGCCUGGGGAGUACGACCGCAAGGUUGAAACUCAAAGGAAUUGACGGGGGCCCGCACAAGCGGUGGAGCAUGUGGUUUAAUUCGAAGCAACGCGAAGAACCUUACCAGGUCUUGACAUCCUUUGACCACUCUAGAGAUAGAGCUUCCCCUUCGGGGGCAAAGUGACAGGUGGUGCAUGGUUGUCGUCAGCUCGUGUCGUGAGAUGUUGGGUUAAGUCCCGCAACGAGCGCAACCCUUAUUGUUAGUUGCCAUCAUUCAGUUGGGCACUCUAGCAAGACUGCCGGUGACAAACCGGAGGAAGGUGGGGAUGACGUCAAAUCAUCAUGCCCCUUAUGACCUGGGCUACACACGUGCUACAAUGGGAAGUACAACGAGUUGCGAAGUCGCGAGGCUAAGCUAAUCUCUUAAAGCUUCUCUCAGUUCGGAUUGCAGGCUGCAACUCGCCUGCAUGAAGCCGGAAUCGCUAGUAAUCGCGGAUCAGCACGCCGCGGUGAAUACGUUCCCGGGCCUUGUACACACCGCCCGUCRCACCACGAGAGUUUGUAACACCCGAAGUCGGUGAGGUAACCUUUUGGAGCCAGCCGCCUAAAU
rnacentral:rRNA from 1 species